rnacentral:rRNA from 1 species
UAGGGAAUCUUCGGCAAUGGACGGAAGUCUGACCGAGCAACGCCGCGUGAGUGAAGAAGGUUUUCGGAUCGUAAAGCUCUGUUGUAAGAGAAGAGCGAGUGUGAGAGUGGAAAGUUCACACUGUGACGGUAUCUUACCAGAAAGGGACGGCUAACUACGUGCCAGCAGCCGCGGUAAUACGUAGGUCCCGAGCGUUGUCCGGAUUUAUUGGGCGUAAAGCGAGCGCAGGCGGUUAGAUAAGUCUGAAGUUAAAGGCUGUGGCUUAACCAUAGUAGGCUUUGGAAACUGUUUAACUUGAGUGCAAGAGGGGAGAGUGGAAUUCCAUGUGUAGCGGUGAAAUGCGUAGAUAUAUGGAGGAACACCGGUGGCGAAAGCGGCUCUCUGGCUUGUAACUGACGCUGAGGCUCGAAAGCGUGGGGAGCAAACAGGAUUAGAUACCCUGGUGGUCCACGCUGUAAACGAUGAGUGCUAGGUGUUAGACCCUUUCCGGGGUUUAGUGCCGUAGCUAACGCAUUAAGCACUCCGCCUGGGGAGUACGACCGCAAGGUU